AUUGAACGCUGGCGGCAGGCCUAACACAUGCAAGUCGAGCGGAUGAAGGGAGCUUGCUCCUGGAUUCAGCGGCGGACGGGUGAGUAAUGCCUAGGAAUCUGCCUGGUAUUGGGGGAUAACGUCCGGAAACGGGCGCUAAUACCGCAUACGUCCUGAGGGAGAAAGUGGGGGAUCUUCGGACCUCACGCUAUCAGAUGAGCCUAGGUCGGAUUAGCUAGUUGGUGGGGUAAAGGCCUACCAAGGCGACGAUCCGUAACUGGUCUGAGAGGAUGAUCAGUCACACUGGAACUGAGACACGGUCCAGACUCCUACGGGAGGCAGCAGUGGGGAAUAUUGGACAAUGGGCGAAAGCCUGAUCCAGCCAUGCCGCGUGUGUGAAGAAGGUCUUCGGAUUGUAAAGCACUUUAAGUUGGGAGGAAGGGCAGUAAGUUAAUACCUUGCUGUUUUGACGUUACCAACAGAAUAAGCACCGGCUAACUUCGU
rnacentral:rRNA from 1 species